rnacentral:rRNA from 1 species
UACGAAGGGGGCUAGCGUUGCUCGGAAUUACUGGGCGUAAAGGGCGCGUAGGCGGAUAGUUUAGUCAGAGGUGAAAGCCCAGGGCUCAACCUUGGAACUGCCUUUGAUACUGGCUAUCUUGAGUUCGGGAGAGGUGAGUGGAAUGCCGAGUGUAGAGGUGAAAUUCGUAGAUAUUCGCAAGAACACCAGUGGCGAAGGCGGCUCACUGGCCCGGUACUGACGCUGAGACGCGAAAGCGUGGGGAGCAAACAGG